GUCUGUGGAUUAGUGGCCGAUGGCUACCCUGACCUCAAGACCUUUGGGGGUAAGCCGCCGCUGGUAGCCGCCGUCAGGCGUGAUCCAGUGGUCGGUAUCCUCCUCUUGCGGGGCAUAUGGCGCACCCGAGGACAGUUCUUGGUAGACAGGGACUCGAAUCGGUGUGUGACGGACCGUCCUGUGGGAAACUCAGUGGGGGCAAUUGGAUAGCGGGUGCGAGGAGGGAGUUAAAGGUCCUUAUGGGCUCUCCUGCCUAGUAGCCGUUGCGGUUGCACCGUUCGCGCGGUGUGGACGCCACCCAGUGUACAACUCGACCCUCGUUCGCGGGGGUGUCGAGGGAGCCUCGUGGGCCCUCUCGUCACGAUAGAUACCUGGUUGAUUCUGCCAGUAGUCAUA
rnacentral:misc_RNA from 1 species